AACGAACGCUGGCGGCAGGCUUAACACAUGCAAGUCGAGCGGGCAUAGCAACAUGUCAGCGGUAGACGGGUGAGUAACGCGUGGGAACGUACCUUUUGGUUCGGAACAACACAGGGAAACUUGUGCUAAUACCGGAUAAGCCCUUACGGGGAAAGAUUUAUCGCCGAAAGAUCGGCCCGCGUCUGAUUAGCUAGUUGGUGAGGCAAUGGCUUACCAAGGCGACGAUCAGUAGCUGGUCUGAGAGGAUGAUCAGCCACAUUGGGACUGAGACACGGCCCAAACUCCUACGGGAGGCAGCAGUGGGGAAUAUCGGACAAUGGGCGCAAGCCUGAUCCAGCCAUGCCGCGUGAGUGAUGAAGGCCCUAGGGUUGUAAAGCUCUUUUGUGCGGGAAGAUAAUGACGGUACCGCAAGAAUAAGCCCCGGCUAACUUCGUGCCAGCCGCCGCAGUAAGAC
rnacentral:rRNA from 1 species